GCAAACUUGGUCAUUUAGAGGAAGUAAAAGUCGUAACAAGGUUUCCGUAGGUGAACCUGCGGAAGGAUCAUUAACGAAUCUUCAAAGUCGGCCCUUUCAGUGCUGGUGGUGACACAUGUGCACGUUUGGGUCGCAAAUCCACACACCUGUGCAUACCAGACUCUGAGUGUCCAACCCUUGUUUUUGGGAGUUUGACUUUGGUCAAACUGGCGCUCGAGUAUUUUUCACACACUCUGAAUGUAAAGGAAUGUAUAUUUUGCAUAACCUGCAAACAAAACAACUUUCAACAACGGAUCUCUUGGCUCUCGCAUCGAUGAAGAACGCAGC
rnacentral:misc_RNA from 1 species